AUGAAACCGAUUAUUCUUUUGCCAGAACGUUCCCCCACGCUAUAUUUACAACACGGGGACAGUGCGUCGUUUGAAAUAAAUAAAAAAAAAACAGUUUUUAUUCCCUCCAUCCUUCGGCUGAACAAAACCCAAACCAACCGCCACAGGUUACGCGACGAGAAGCGAAACCUCCUCAACCCUCCCCGCGCCAUUUCACCCGCCCCGAGCCCCCCGUUCCCCGCCGCCGGCCCCGGGGCCGGGCAAGCCCGGGGCUGGCUGAGGCCAGGAGGCGGAGGCGGAGGCGGGCCGGGGCCGGGGCCGGGGCCGGGCAUGGUGGGGCCGGGGCCGGGGCCGGGGCCGGGCAUGGCGGGGCGGCUGCUGCUGGUGGCGCUGCUGGUGGCGCUGCUGGCGGCGGCCGAGCGGGAGCUGCGCUUCAAGCCGCCGCCGCCGCCGCCGGGCGAGGCCCCCGUGCGGCUUUUCACCGAGCCCGAGCUGGCCAGAUACGACGGGCAGCAGAUCUCUGGGACAAUUUAAAGCACAAGCAAGAAAUUUCAAGAGACAGAAGAGGGAGCAGCUUGUGAUGUGGGAGUGCACAUCCUUUUUUUUUAUCUCCUGUAUAGUCCCCAGUGCUGUUUUCAUUUUUCUUUCUGCUGCGUGAUGACAACAGCUGACACAAGGAUGCAUGGAUAGGUGACAGAGGAGAGCCUUCAGAGCGGCCAGGUAUAGAAAUGCCCCGUACUGUGUUACCCAGAUGCACACAGACAUACCGUUUUUACCAGGCUGCUGAUUAUGGGGUCAAAUAAAAUUGCCAGGCUAUAUAUUUAUUGUGCA
rnacentral:lncRNA from 1 species